rnacentral:rRNA from 1 species
AGAGUUUGAUCAUGGCUCAGGACGAACGCUGGCGGCGUGCCUAAUACAUGCAAGUAGAACGCUGAAGAGAGGAGCUUGCUCUUCUUGGAUGAGUUGCGAACGGGUGAGUAACGCGUAGGUAACCUGCCUUGUAGCGGGGGAUAACUAUUGGAAACGAUAGCUAAUACCGCAUAACAAUGGAUGACACAUGUCAUUUAUUUGAAAGGGGCAAUUGCUCCACUACAAGAUGGACCUGCGUUGUAUUAGCUAGUAGGUGAGGUAACGGCUCACCUAGGCGACGAUACAUAGCCGACCUGAGAGGGUGAUCGGCCACACUGGGACUGAGACACGGCCCAGACUCCUACGGGAGGCAGCAGUAGGGAAUCUUCGGCAAUGGGGGCAACCCUGACCGAGCAACGCCGCGUGAGUGAAGAAGGUUUUCGGAUCGUAAAGCUCUGUUGUAAGUCAAGAACGAGUGUGAGAGUGGAAAGUUCACACUGUGACGGUAGCUUACCAGAAAGGGACGGCUAACUACGUGCCAGCAGCCGCGGUAAUACGUAGGUCCCGAGCGUUGUCCGGAUUUAUUGGGCGUAAAGCGAGCGCAGGCGGUUUGAUAAGUCUGAAGUUAAAGGCUGUGGCUCAACCAUAGUUCGCUUUGGAAACUGUCAAACUUGAGUGCAGAAGGGGAGAGUGGAAUUCCAUGUGUAGCGGUGAAAUGCGUAGAUAUAUGGAGGAACACCGGUGGCGAAAGCGGCUCUCUGGUCUGUAACUGACGCUGAGGCUCGAAAGCGUGGGGAGCGAACAGGAUUAGAUACCCUGGUAGUCCACGCCGUAAACGAUGAGUGCUAGGUGUUGGAUCCUUUCCGGGAUUCAGUGCCGCAGCUAACGCAUUAAGCACUCCGCCUGGGGAGUACGACCGCAAGGUUGAAACUCAAAGGAAUUGACGGGGGCCCGCACAAGCGGUGGAGCAUGUGGUUUAAUUCGAAGCAACGCGAAGAACCUUACCAGGUCUUGACAUCCCGAUGCUAUUUCUAGAGAUAGAAAGUUACUUCGGUACAUCGGUGACAGGUGGUGCAUGGUUGUCGUCAGCUCGUGUCGUGAGAUGUUGGGUUAAGUCCCGCAACGAGCGCAACCCCUAUUGUUAGUUGCCAUCAUUCAGUUGGGCACUCUAGCGAGACUGCCGGUAAUAAACCGGAGGAAGGUGGGGAUGACGUCAAAUCAUCAUGCCCCUUAUGACCUGGGCUACACACGUGCUACAAUGGUUGGUACAACGAGUUGCGAGUCGGUGACGGCAAGCUAAUCUCUUAAAGCCAAUCUCAGUUCGGAUUGUAGGCUGCAACUCGCCUACAUGAAGUCGGAAUCGCUAGUAAUCGCGGAUCAGCACGCCGCGGUGAAUACGUUCCCGGGCCUUGUACACACCGCCCGUCACACCACGAGAGUUUGUAACACCCGAAGUCGGUGAGGUAACCUUUUGGAGCCAGCCGCCUAAGGUGGGAUAGAUGAUUGGGGUGAAGUCGUAACAAGGUA